UCCUCCGGUAAUGUGACCUUCUCCGUGCUCCGCGGAGGAACAGGAUCCAGGAGUAUCUCCUUCCACCUGGCAUCCAACAACAGUGACUUCCUAAAGUACGACUACCUGACCUACGGCAUCAGGGACGAGGAGUAUAAAAAGGUGAUGAGCGCCUCAAAUCCUUUGUUUAGCUCGCCAACAUAAUAUCGGUUCCUAUGAAAAACGCCGGUUCCCAACUGCUGUCAUCAAUGAAUAUACCAUAUUAUUUAUUUUUAAUGUAUAUCAUAAAACAAAUAAAUUUGAUUUAAAUAA